UCUCUGCUCUUCUGUGCCUCCCCAUUCUUCUAUCAAUGAUCAAUCUAUCCUAGCAUAAAGCAUCCAUAUGUGAUUUUUUUGAAGUACAGAAUCAAACUGUGUUGUUUUUGCUGUCCUGAUGAAAAUUGUUGAUAAAUAAUGAGAGGUAUUGGAGAAAAGAAUUAGAUAUUGGUAUUGGUAUUUGGUAAUUACCAUUUGUUUGAUUCUUAUCAUAUUUGCUAUCCAGUACAUGAAAACACGGUCAUGAGAAAUCAUACACAUAAUUUACUAUAUCCAGUACAUGAACAGUUGACCAGUGACAUGAUAACGAUUUGUGUGAUUGUUUGCCAUUCUAACAAGUUACUCUAACAGUGCCACUCUACCAAAGUAACAAGGCCACAUAGUCUUCUUUGAACUUCUAAAGUGUAUCAAUGGAUUUAGAAUCUAUAAAGGAGCUAUUGCUUUCUCCUAGACCAAGUGAGGAAUGCUUGGCUGGUGUAGCUGGUUUUCUUGACUUUGCGUACAUAGAGGGCAAGUCAAAGAAUAAUUUUAAGGCACGACUUGACCUGCAGGACAUGAAAAUCAGGCCAGAGCUACAUCCUAAAAAUAAACCUACCGACGAGUAUUUUCUUCUAGCUGCUUCUUAUACCAUGUCAAAGAAAGAGAAGCAUCAGUUUUUCAAAGUACUUCAUGAUAUAAAAGUUCCAGAUAGUUACUUGGGGAACUCAAAAAAACAGAAGGAACAGUUUUGCAAAGUACUUCGUGAUAUAAAAGUUCCAGACGGGUAUUUGGAGGAAUGAGGAAAUUUUGCCAGCGGAGAUUAGAAGGAUUGUUCUAAAAGGGUGCAUGAAGCUAUGCGCUCUUUUAGGACAUUUUUAUGUCUGCAUAGUUUUUGCUCUUCAAACAUGAAGCUUGAAAAAAAUACGAAACUUUGUACUGAGUUAAGCUUUAUGUAAGACGGAUUGUCAUUGGAAAUAGAUAGACACAUUUUUGUCAAAGAACUAUUAUGUCAAAUUUACCAUCUUUCAAACUAAGCUUAUGUCUGUUUGAAAUUGAUGUUUUGGUUUA